CGACUCCUACGGGGAGGCAGCAGUGGGGAAUAUUGCACAAUGGGGGAAACCCUGAUGCAGCCAUGCCGCGUGUGUGAAGAAGGCCUUCGGGUUGUAAAGCACUUUCAGUAGGGAGGAAGGUAGUGUAGUUAAUACCUGCAUUAUUUGACGUUACCUACAGAAGAAGCACCGGCUAACUCCGUGCCAGCAGCCGCGGUAAUACGGAGGGUGCGAGCGUUAAUCGGAAUUACUGGGCGUAAAGCGCAUGCAGGCGGCCUGUUAAGUCAGAUGUGAAAGCCCGGGGCUUAACCUCGGAAUUGCAUUUGAAACUGGCAGGCUAGAGUCUUGUAGAGGGGGGUAGGAAUUUCAGGUGUAGCGGUGAAAUGCGUAGAGAUCUGAAGGAAUACCAGUGGCGAAGGCGGCCCCCUGGACAAAGACUGACGCUCAGAUGCGAAAGCGUGGGGAGCAAACAGGAUUAGAUACCCUGGUAG
rnacentral:rRNA from 1 species